rnacentral:rRNA from 1 species
GACGAACGCUGGCGGCGUGCCUAAUACAUGCAAGUAGAACGCUGAAGAGAGGAGCUUGCUCUUCUUGGCUGAGUUGCGAACGGGUGAGUAACGCGUAGGUAACCUGCCUUGUAGCGGGGGAUAACUAUUGGAAACGAUAGCUAAUACCGCAUAACAAUGGAUGACCCAUGUCAUUUAUUUGAAAGGGGCAAAUGCUCCACUACAAGAUGGACCUGCGUUGUAUUAGCUAGUAGGUGAGGUAACGGCUCACCUAGGCGACGAUACAUAGCCGACCUGAGAGGGUGAUCGGCCACACUGGGACUGAGACACGGCCCAGACUCCUACGGGAGGCAGCAGUAGGGAAUCUUCGGCAAUGGGGGCAACCCUGACCGAGCAACGCCGCGUGAGUGAAGAAGGGUUUCGGAUCGUAAAGCUCUGUUGUAAGUCAAGAACGAGUGUGAGAGUGGAAAGUUCACACUGUGACGGUAGCUUACCAGAAAGGGACGGCUAACUACGUG